rnacentral:rRNA from 1 species
UACGUAGGGACCAAGCGUUGUUCGGAUUUACUGGGCGUAAAGGGCGCGUAGGCGGCGUGUUAAGUCACUUGUGAAAUCUCUAAGCUUAACUUACGAACGGUCAAGUGAUACUGACGUGCUAGAGUGCAGAAGGGGCAACCGGAAUUCUUGGUGUAGCGGUGAAAUGCGUAGAUAUCAAGAGGAACACCUGAGGUGAAGACGGGUUGCUGGGCCAA